rnacentral:rRNA from 1 species
GGGCCCGCACAAGCGGUGGAGCAUGUGGUUUAAUUCGAUGAUACGCGAGGAACCUUACCAGGGUUUAAAUGCAGAACGACAGGGGUGGAAACACCCCCUUCUUCGGACGGACUGCAAGGUGCUGCAUGGUUGUCGUCAGCUCGUGCUGUGAAGUGUCGGGUUAAGUCCCAUAACGAGCGCAACCCCCAUUUCUAGUUGCCAGCGGUUCGGCCGGGGACUCUAGAGAAACUGCCAGCGUAAGCUGUGAGGAAGGUGGGGAUGACGUCAAAUCAUCACGGCCCUUACAUCCUGGGCCACACACGUGCUACAAUGGUGGGGACAACAGGUUGCCAACCCGCGAGGGUGAGCCAAUCCCAAAACCUAUCUCAGUUCGGAUUGGAGUCUGAAACUCGACUCUAUGAAGCUGGAAUCGCUAGUAAUCGCGCAUC